ACCAAAGGUGUCCCCACCUGUCCCCACCUGUUCCAUGCAUCCUCCCCACCUGUCCCACCUGUCCCUCACCUGUGUCUGUCCCACCUGUCCCUCACCUGCCAAAGGUGUUCUCACCUGUCCCACUUGUCCCCACGUAUUCCAUUCAUCCUCGCCACCUGUCCCUCACCUGUCCCUCACCUACCAAAGUUGUCCCUGCCUGUCCCUCACCUGUCCCCACCUGUCCCUCACCUGUCCCUCACCUCCCAAAGGUGUCCCCGCCUGUCCCUCACCUCCCAAAGGUGUCCCCACCUGUCCCUCACCUACCAAAGGUGUCCCCACCUGUCCCUCACCUGCCAAAGGUGUUCUCACCUGUCCCACUUGUCCCCACGUAUUCCAUUCAUCUUUGCCACCUCUCCCUCACCUGUCCCACCCAUCCCCACCUGUCCCUCACCUACCAAAGGUGUCCCCGUCUGUCCCCACCUGUUCCUUACCUAUCAUAGGUUUCCCACCUGUCCCUCACCUGCCAAAGGCGUCCCCACCUGUCCCAUUUGUUCCCAUGUAUUCCAUUCAUCCUCACCACCUGUCCCUCACCUGUCCCUCACCUGCCAAAGGUGUUCUCACCUGUCCCACUUGUCCCCAUGUAUUCCAUUCAUCCUUGCCACCUGUCCCUCACCUGUCCCUCACCUGUCCCACCUGUCCCUCACCUACCAAAGGUGUUCCCACCUGUCCCACCCAUCCCCACCUGUCCCUCACCUACCAAAGGUGUCCCCGCCUGUCCUCACCUGCCAAAGGUGUCCCGACCUGUUCCCACCUGUCCCUCACCUGCCGAAUGCAGCGUCCCGGUAGGGCAGUGCCAUCCAGGUGUGGGCCAUGGCCCUCAGGUACUCCCGGUGCUCCCGCUCACACCUGUCCUGGCACAGGUACACCAGGCACAGCUGCUCCUGUCUCACCUGUGUCCCUCACCUGUCCCACCUGUCCCACCUGUUCCUUUCAUCCUUCCCACUUGUCCCUCACCUACCAAAGCUGUCCCCACCUGUCCCCACCCUUUCCUUACCUACCAAAGGUGUCCCCACCUGGCCCGCCUGUCCACUCACUUGCCAAAGCUUUUCCCACCUGUCCCUCACCUGUGUCUGUCCCACCUGUCCCUCACCUACCAAAGGUGGCCAUACCCAUCCUCACCCAUUCCAUCUGUCCAAGCUGUCCCCACCUGUCCCAGCUGUCCCCACCUGUUCCAUUCAUCCUUCCCACCCGUUCCUUACCUAUCACAGCUGUUCCCACCUGUCCCUCACCUGCCAAAGGUGUCCCCGCCUGUCCCCACCUCCCAAAGGUGUCCCCACCUGCCAAAGGUGUUCUCACCUGUCCCACUUGUCCCCACGUACUCCAUUCAUCUUUGCCACCUGUCCCUCACCUGUCCCACCCAUCCCCACCUGUCCUUCACCUACCAAAGGUGUCCCCGCCUGUCCCCACCUGCCAAAGGUGUCCCCACCUGUCCCCACCUGUUCCUUACCUAUCAUAGGUUUCCCACCUGUCCCUCACCUG
rnacentral:lncRNA from 1 species